rfam:Papio anubis isolate 1X1155 chromosome X, whole genome shotgun sequence.
UAACCUCAGGCUAGAGAUGGCGACCCUCUGAAUUUAAGCAUACUAGUCAAUGGAGGAAAAUAAACUAACCAGGAUUCCCUUAGUAAAGGUGAGUGAACAAGGAGCCCAGUGCCAAAUCCCUGUCCCUUGGUGGGGUGCGGGAAUGAGGUGUAUGGAAGACUCACUCCCCAGCACCAUUUGUGGGGGCCUAGGUUCUUCUGAUUGAGGCCCAGCCAACCUGUGGACGAUGUGAGGUCAUUAGCAGCCCCUGGCUGCCACGCUUGGGUCUUCCCAGAGUCGGGUUGCUUGGGAAUGCAACCUAAAGCUGGUGGUAAACUCUAUCUAAGGCUAAAUAUCGGCACGACACCACAAUAGUCAACAAGUACUGUAAGGGAAAGUUGACGCAGUUCAAGAGGGCAUGAAACCUUUAAGACUUAAAUGGGUGGGGUCCAUCCAGUCUGAUGGAAGAUUAAAACAGGCAGCAGGUCGGGCUGUGCCAGUGAUCUGGCGGAUCUUUCCUGCCUCCCGUUCCUCCUGACCCCUCCAAUCGCCCUCCCUUCCGGGGCACCCCUCUUCCUUCUUGGUGCGGAGGUGGGUGGGUUGGACAGGCGGGGGAGUCGUUGGGAACUGUCCCCCAGACGGAGACUGGCCACCGCCAGGUGCAUUUCCACUGUGGUUCUGCGCCCUGACUGGCUCUGGGACGUCUGGGAAGGCCCGGAAGGGAAGGUGGCUCGGGGGAUCAUGUCCUCCCGGUCCCUCAGGAGGGAGUGGGGUGGGCCACCCCCUGAAUGUUACAGUCCCCCAGCAGUAGCAUUCGCCGAAUCCCGGGACUGAGGUAGUGAGAUCUGUUGCCGUGCUCUCCCCUUCCCAGCACCCACUCCUGUGGGAGCCCCUCAUGAGGGGAUCCCCCGUGGGGUCGUGACAGCGUCACUCUAGGGGGCUGGGCCACCCGUCCCACUGUGUAACUACUCCACCACCCCCUUUCUACCCCCAGUGAAGAGGCUGCAUGGGAGGGGCUGGGGUUGACUGUGGUGUGCCCCAGGAAGGUUGUGCUGUCGGGCCUGGGGCGGUCUCUUCGACCACGCACUCAUCCCAAAAGAACAGUGGAACAAGUGCAUGAGAUCGGUGGUGGCGCUGUCGUCUACCUACAUGAUCCAUCUUGAAACACGAACCAAGGAGUGUAACACGUGUGCGAGUCAGGGCUCGCACGAAAGCCGCCGUGGCACAAUGAAGGUGAAGACUGGUGGGCUCACAGGCCGAGGUGGGAUCCUAAGGCCUCUCCAGUUUGCCGAGGGUACACCACCUGCCCGUUUCCCCGCCAUGCUGGGGAGGUGGAUCACAAGCCCCUGUGUUAGGCACCAAAAGAUAAUGAACUAUGCCUGGGCAGGGCGAAGCCAGAGAAAACUCCGGUGGGCGUCUGCAGCAGUCCUGAGGUGCAAAUCAAUCGUCUGAUCUGUGUAUAGGGGCAAAAGACUAAUGGAACCUUCUAGUAGGUAGUUCCCUGUGAAGUUUUCCUAAGGAUAGCUGUCGCUCUGGCAAAAACCCCAUGCCACGCAGUUAUCCGGUAAAGCGAAUGAUUAGAGGUCUUGGGGCCGAAACGAUCUCAACUUAUUCUCAAACUUUAAAUGAGCAAGAAGCCCGGCUCACUGGGGUGUAGCCAGGCAUGGAAUGCGAGUGCCUAGUGGGCCACAUUUGGUAAGCAGAACUAGUGCUAUGGGAUUAAUCAAAUGCCGGGUUAAGGUGCCUGAUACUGAUGCUCAUCAGAUCACAGAAAAGGUGUUGGUUCAUAUAGACAGCAUAGGGGCCACAGAAGGUGGAAUCCACUAAGGACUGUUUAACAACUCACCUGUGGAAUCAACUAGCCCUGAAAAUAGAUGGUGCUGAAGCAUUGGGCCCACACCCAGCUGUUGCCAGCAGUUGAGAGUAGACAGGAGUGGUGAGGGCGGUAACUCCCCAACCAGAGCCCUGAGGAUGGUAUGCUGCUAUGAGUAGGAGGGUAGCUGUGGUGAGCCUUGAAGCCUAGGGCAUGAGCCUGGGUGGAGCUGCCACAGGUGCAGAUGGGCGAGUGCCAUUCCGAAGAGAUGGGAGAUGACUUCCAUUGCCCUCAGCCUAUCAAAAUGGAGU